AGACAGAGCCAGGACCCUGGAAGGAAGCAGGAUGGCUGCCGGAACAGCAGUUGGAGCCUGGGUGCUGGUCCUCAGUCUGUGGGGUGAGCCACUCCCUCAACCCCACUGACCCUCCCUGCAGAAAGCACUUUAACCCCACACCCCAGUCGUCCUAGAACUUUUCCCAGAACCCGAGGAAGUGCCUUUCAAGGUCCCUCACCCACCCUGUCCAAAUUUUGUUAGCCCUCAUUCCCUUCCUACCCCUCUACCAUGGUGCUAUCUCCCAGGGGCAGUAGUAGGUGCUCAAAACAUCACAGCCCGGAUUGGCGAGCCACUGGUGCUGAAGUGUAAGGGGGCCCCCAAGAAACCACCCCAGCGGCUGGAAUGGAAACUGAACACAGGCCGGACAGAAGCUUGGAAGGUCCUGUCUCCCCAGGGAGGAGGCCCCUGGGACAGUGUGGCUCGUGUCCUUCCCAACGGCUCCCUCUUCCUUCCGGCUGUCGGGAUCCAGGAUGAGGGGAUUUUCCGGUGCCAGGCAAUGAACAGGAAUGGAAAGGAGACCAAGUCCAACUACCGAGUCCGUGUCUACCAGAUUCCUGGGAAGCCAGAAAUUGUAGAUUCUGCCUCUGAACUCACGGCUGGUGUUCCCAAUAAGGUGGGGACAUGUGUGUCAGAGGGAAGCUACCCUGCAGGGACUCUUAGCUGGCACUUGGAUGGGAAGCCCCUGGUGCCUAAUGAGAAGGGAGUAUCUGUGAAGGAACAGACCAGGAGACACCCUGAGACAGGGCUCUUCACACUGCAGUCGGAGCUAAUGGUGACCCCAGCCCGGGGAGGAGAUCCCCGUCCCACCUUCUCCUGUAGCUUCAGCCCAGGCCUUCCCCGACACCGGGCCUUGCGCACAGCCCCCAUCCAGCCCCGUGUCUGGGAGCCUGUGCCUCUGGAGGAGGUCCAAUUGGUGGUGGAGCCAGAAGGUGGAGCAGUAGCUCCUGGUGGAACCGUAACCCUGACCUGUGAAGUCCCUGCCCAGCCCUCUCCUCAAAUCCACUGGAUGAAGGAUGGUGUGCCCUUGCCCCUUCCCCCCAGCCCUGUGCUGAUCCUCCCUGAGAUAGGGCCUCAGGACCAGGGAACCUACAGCUGUGUGGCCACCCAUUCCAGCCACGGGCCCCAGGAAAGCCGUGCUGUCAGCAUCAGCAUCAUCGAACCAGGCGAGGAGGGGCCAACUGCAGGCUCUGUGGGAGGAUCAGGGCUGGGAACUCUAGCCCUGGCCCUGGGGAUCCUGGGAGGCCUGGGGACAGCCGCCCUGCUCAUUGGGGUCAUCUUGUGGCAAAGGCGGCAACGCCGAGGAGAGGAGAGGAAGGCCCCAGAAAACCAGGAGGAAGAGGAGGAGCGUGCAGAACUGAAUCAGUCGGAGGAACCUGAGGCAGGCGAGAGUAGUACUGGAGGGCCUUGAGGGGCCCACAGACAGAUCCCAUCCAUCAGCUCCCUUUUCUUUUUCCCUUGAACUGUUCUGGCCUCAGACCAACUCUCUCCUGUAUAAUCUCUCUCCUGUAUAACCCCACCUUGCCAAGCUUUCUUCUACAACCAGAGCCCCCCACAAUGAUGAUUAAACACCUGACACAUCUUG